CAGUAGCCGCGGUAAUACGGAGGGUGCGAGCGUUAAUCGGAAUUACUGGGCGUAAAGCGUACGCAGGCGGUUUGUUAAGUCAGAUGUGAAAUCCCCGAGCUUAACUCGGGAACUGCAUUUGAAACUGGCAGGCUAGAGUCUCGUAGAGGGGGGUAGAAUUCCAGGUGUAGCGGUGAAAUGCGUAGAGAUCUGGAGGAAUACCGGUGGCGAAGGCGGCCCCCUGGACGAAGACUGACGCUCAGGUACGAAAGCGUGGGGAGCAAACAGGAUUAGAUACCCGCGUAGUCCCUGUCUCUUAUAC
rnacentral:rRNA from 1 species